rnacentral:rRNA from 1 species
CCCUUAGACGUUCUGGGCCGCACGCGCGCUACACUGACCAGUGCAACAAGCAUCCGUCCUUGGCCGACAGGCUCGGGCAAUCUUUGAACGCUGGUCGUGAUGGGGAUAGACUUUUGCAAUUUUUGGUCUUCAACGAGGAAUUCCUAGUAAACGCAAGUCAUCAACUUGCAUUGAUUACGUCCCUGCCCUUUGUACACACCGCCCGUCGCACCUACCGAUUGAAUGGUCCGGUGAAGCCUCCGGAUUGGCGCGCACCUCGGUGCCGUCGAGAAGUUGGCUAAACCUUACCAUUUAGAGGAAGGUGAAGUCGUAACA